rnacentral:rRNA from 1 species
UACGGGGGGGGGCAAGCGUUGUUCGGAAUUACUGGGCGUAAAGGGCUCGUAGGCGGCCAACUAAGUCAGACGUGAAAUCCCUCGGCUUAACCGGGGAACUGCGUCUGAUACUGGAUGGCUUGAGUUUGGGAGAGGGAUGCGGAAUUCCAGGUGUAGCGGUGAAAUGCGUAGAUAUCUGGAGGAACACCGGUGGCGAAGGCGGCAUCCUGGACCAACACUGACGCUGAUGAGCGAAAGCGUGGGGAGCAAAACAGG